ensembl:lncRNA
CUGGAAUCCCACACAUUGUAAUAAACACAGCUGCAUUUAUUUGAGUAUGUGAUCCCAUGUACAUGUAAAAACAUUCAAACAAACACACUCAGCAGAUUUAUUUGAUUGUGCAAUGGGGCAAUUAUUCAAAUAAACAUGCUCAGUGCAAUUAUUUGAAUCUCACAUUGCAUGUUCAUCAAUCACAGCACUGAAAAUGAAGGGGGAAAAAAACACCAAAGAAUUUACAUGGGGAAAAAAUAUAUGUGAAAACAACCUUAUUAUAGAUUUUAUAGGGUUAGCCAAAGUGAUGGCACCCUCCUUAACUGUAACUCCACUAUUCUAUAUUCAGCGACAUUUGUUUCUAAUGAUUAAUUGGUUCAUUCACUUGGCCAUUAAAUCAGAAUGACCAUAACAUUCAGAUUUAUAUAAUAGCAAGCUUGACAAACCUGAAUGGGGUAGAGAUAUGGAAUCUCUAUAUUUCCAGCAUAGAAUAGUUGUUUCUAGACACUUUAUGUCAAGAGGACAUUGGUCAAAUUAUUAUGGCUUUAAAUAGCACUCCUAUAAAUUAAAAAAAUUUUAUACAUGCAACAAAACAUUCCUACAUUUGAAGACAUUAAAAAAAAAUCACAGGUGACUCAUCUGGUCAUUUUAUAUAUUGAUAAAUAUCCUGACAUAUAUGUGAACACAUCAAGAAUCAUAUAGGUGUACCAAGAGGCAAUUUAUGUCUCUUUUAAGUCUGUACUGACAUAACCUAAUAUACUAAAAUGGGAAGGGGCGUUUAGUCACAGAAAUAUACAUCGUGUAACAAAGAUGAAAAAAAUACAUGGCUUGUGCCCAUCAUAAAAAAGAUUCAGACUGAAGGCUUAGCUUUGGUUUUUAUUCAAUUAAAUUGUUAAACUGUGCACAGUGAUUUUUUUUUAGAACUUGAGACAUUUGUGAUGUUGGCUGUUUAAAUCUUUGUUACCUUCGCUGUGAAUUGAAAUUGUACAUAUUUAGUAAAUCAUGCAGACAAAACAAACUUUUUAGACAAUAUUUUUAUUGGAGAGUUUUCUUUUCCUGUAUCCAUGUUAAAAAAAAAAAAAGACCUCCUUUCCCAAAAUAAAAAUGUCAAUACUAAAUUUAAAGAAGUAUAAAGGAAUGAUUGCUUCCUUUAGAGCUAAAUAUUUAAAUAAACAUGGAGAUAAUUGGCAACAUGUUCU